UGUUAUGAUGGGAGAGGGGAUGCAGGUUGAUGGUUGCGUGAGUGCGUCAGGGAUUGAGAGUGGGGAUGUCAACGGUGGAGUCGUAGCUAGCUAUGGGCCUCUGGAAAUAGUGGCGAUGUUGCCGGUGGGGGGAGGGGAGAAACACAUACUGAUGGAGGAAGGAAAAGAGGGGCAAGAUGUGCUGAUUUCGGAGGUGGAUAGAGAGCUGUUGGCGGUCCAGGGAGAAGAGGGGGAGAGCAUGCACGACUCAGAUGAAGAAAUCUCGUAUAGAGUAUUACGAGAGAUCUUUUGGACGCAAAAUUUGCGUACUGGGGAGAUGAGAGUGGAGCUGUGAAAGACAAGGGAGUGGGUCUACUUUGAUGAGUAAUACGUAACAAUCCAUUUUGUAACACCUCCCUCUCUGCUAGCCAGCCAAAGAAUGGUGAUAAGGAACAGGAAAAGAAGAAGAAGGAGAAUAACUACCUCACAAAACUAUUAAAAAGUAAACUUUAUAUAU